rnacentral:rRNA from 1 species
AAUCAACGCUGGCGGCGUGCCUCAGACAUGCAAGUCGAACGAUUAAAGCUCUCUUCGGAGAGUGUAUAGAGUGGCGCACGGGUGAGUAACACGUAAGUAAUCUACCUUCGAGUGGGGAAUAACGUCCGGAAACGGACGCUAAUACCGCAUAAUGCAGCGGCAUCGCAAGAUGACAGUUGUUAAAGAUUUAUCGCUUGAAGAGGAGCUUGCGGCAGAUAGCUAGUUGGUAAGGUAAUGGCUUACCAAGGCUACGAUCUGUAACCGGUCUAAGAGGACGGUCGGUCACACUGACACUGAAUAACGGGUCAGACUCCUACGGGAGGCAGCAGUCGGGUAAUUUUGGGCAAUGGGCGAAAGCCUGACCCAGCAACGCCGCGUGAAGGAUGAAGUAUUUCGGUA